GAUGAACGCUGGCGGCGUGCCUAAUACAUGCAAGUCGAGCGAACUUUUGGGAGCUUGCUUCCUAUAGUUAGCGGCGGACGGGUGAGUAACACGUGGGUAACCUGCCUGUAAGACUGGGAUAACUUCGGGAAACCGGAGCUCAUACCGGAUAACAUUUAAGACCACAUAGCCUUCAAUUAAAAGGUGGCUUUUAGCUACCACUUACAGAUGGACCCGCGCCGCAUUAGCUAGUUGGUGAGGUAACGGCUCACCAAGGCGACGAUGCGUAGCCGACCUGAGAGGGGGAUCGGCCAAACUGGGACUGAGACACGGGCCAGAAUCCUACGGGAGGGAGCAGUAAGGAAACUUCCGGAAUGGACGAAAGGCGGAAGGGGGAACGCCGGGGGAGCGAAGAAGGCCGUCGGGUCGGAAAGAUCUGUUGUUAAGGAAGAAAAAGAAUCGUACGAAUAGGGGGGUAACUUGACGGUACCUAACCAGAAAGCCACGGCUAACUACGUG
rnacentral:rRNA from 1 species